GAUGAACGCUGGCGUCGUGCCUAAUACAUGCAAGUCGAGCGAACGGACGAGAAGCUUGCUUCUCUGAUGUUAGCGGCGGACGGGUGAGUAACACGUGGAUAACCUACCUAUAAGACUGGGAUAACUUCGGGAAACCGGAGCUAAUACCGGAUAAUAUUUUGAACCGCAUGGUUCAAAAGUGAAAGACGGUCUUGCUGUCACUUAUAGAUGGAUCCGCGCUGCAUUAGCUAGUUGGUAAGGUAACGGCUUACCAAGGCAACGAUGCAUAGCCGACCUGAGAGGGUGAUCGGCCACACUGGAACUGAGACACGGUCCAGACUCCUACGGGAGGCAGCAGUAGGGAAUCUUCCGCAAUGGGCGAAAGCCUGACGGAGCAACGCCGCGUGAGUGAUGAAGGUCUUCGGAUCGUAAAACUCUGUUAUUAGGGAAGAACAUAUGUGUAAGUAACUGUGCACAUCUUGACGGUACCUAAUCAGAAAGCCACGACUAACUACGUG
rnacentral:rRNA from 1 species